rnacentral:rRNA from 1 species
CCUACGGGGGGCAGCAGUGAGGAAUAUUGGUCAAUGGACGAGAGUCUGAACCAGCCAAGUAGCGUGAAGGAUGACUGCCCUAUGGGUUGUAAACUUCUUUUAUAUGGGAAUAAAAUGUUCCACGUGUGGGAUUUUGUAUGUACCAUAUGAAUAAGGAUCGGCUAACUCCGUGCCAGCAGCCGCGGUAAUACGGAGGAUCCGAGCGUUAUCCGGAUUUAUUGGGUUUAAAGGGAGCGUAGGUGGAUUGUUAAGUCAGUUGUGAAAGUUUGCGGCUCAACCGUAACAUUGCAGUUGAAACUGGCAGUCUUGAGUACAGUAGAGGUGGGCGGAAUUCGUGGUGUAGCGGUGAAAUGCUUAGAUAUCACGAAGAACUCCGAUUGCGAAGGCAGUUCACUGGACUGCAACUGACACUGAGGCUCGAAAGUGUGGGUAUCAAACAGGAUUAGAUACCCGGGUAGUC